rnacentral:rRNA from 1 species
CAAUAGCGUAUAUUAAAAUUGUUGCGGUUAAAAAGCUCGUAGUCGAAUUUCUGUGUAAGCUUACUAGUCCAUUGCGGAUUUUGUAAUGAUUGCACUUUAGCUUUAUUGUUUUACAGUAAAGCGUUUUACUUUGAGGAAAUUAGAGUGUUUCAAGCAGGUUUACGCCUUGAAUACUUUAGCAUGGAAUAAUAAGGAAGGACUUAGGUUCUCUUAUUGGUCUGUGAACCUUUGUAAUGAUGAAUAGAAACAGUCGGGGGCGUCCAUACUCAACAGUCAGAGGUGAAAUUCUUGGAUUUGUUGAAGAUGAACUACUGCGAAAGCAUUCGCCAAGGAUGUUUUCAUUG